rnacentral:tRNA from 1 species
CAGGUAUAGUUCAUUGGUAGAACAUCGGCUUCCCAAGCCGAAUAGGUGGGUUCGAUUCCCAUUACCUG